AAGGUGCUUGCACCUUUCAGUGAGUGGCGAACGGGUGAGUAACACGUGGACAACCUGCCUCAAGGCUGGGGAUAACAUUUGGAAACAGAUGCUAAUACCGAAUGAAACUUAGUGUCGCAUGACACGAAGUUAAAGGCGCUUUGGCGUCACCUAGAGAUGGAUCCGCGGUGCAUUAGUUAGUUGGUGGGGUAAAGGCCUACCAAGACAAUGAUGCAUAGCCGAGUUGAGAGACUGAUCGGCCACAUUGGGACUGAGACACGGCCCAAACUCCUACGGGAGGCUGCAGUAGGGAAUCUUCCACAAUGGGCGAAAGCCUGAUGGAGCAACGCCGCGUGUGUGAUGAAGGCUUUCGGGUCGUAAAGCACUGUUGUAUGGGAAGAACAGCUAGAAUAGGGAAUGAUUUUAGUUUGACGGUACCAUACCAGAAAGGGACGGCUAAAUACGUGCCAGCAGCCGCGGUAAUACGUAUGUCCCGAGCGUUAUCCGGAUUUAUUGGGCGUAAAGCGAGCGCAGACGGUUGAUUAAGUCUGAUGUGAAAGCCCGGAGCUCAACUCCGGAAUGGCAUUGGAAACUGGUUAACUUGAGUGCAGUAGAGGUAAGUGGAACUCCAUGUGUAGCGGUGGAAUGCGUAGAUAUAUGGAAGAACACCAGUGGCGAAGGCGGCUUACUGGACUGUAACUGACGUUGAGGCUCGAAAGUGUGGGUAGCAAACAGGAUUAGAUACCCUGGUAGUCCACACCGUAAACGAUGAACAGUAGGUGUUAGGAGGUUUCCGCCUCUUAGUGCCGAAGCUAACGCAUUAAGUGUUCCGCCUGGGGAGUACGACCGCAAGGUUGAAACUCAAAGGAAUUGACGGGGACCCGCACAAGCGGUGGAGCAUGUGGUUUAAUUCGAAGCAACGCGAAGAACCUUACCAGGUCUUGACAUCCUUUGAAGCUUUUAGAGAUAGAAGUGUUCUCUUCGGAGACAAAGUGACAGGUGGUGCAUGGUCGUCGUCAGCUCGUGUCGUGAGAUGUUGGGUUAAGUCCCGCAACGAGCGCAACCCUUAUUGUUAGUUGCCAGCAUUCAGAUGGGCACUCUAGCGAGACUGCCGGUGACAAACCGGAGGAAGGCGGGGACGACGUCAGAUCAUCAUGCCCCUUAUGACCUGGGCUACACACGUGCUACAAUGGCGUAUACAACGAGUUGCCAACCCGCGAGGGUGAGCUAAUCUCUUAAAGUACGUCUCAGUUCGGAUUGUAGUCUGCAACUCGACUACAUGAAGUCGGAAUCGCUAGUAAUCGCGGAUCAGCACGCCGCGGUGAAUACGUUCCCGGGUCUUGUACACACCGCCCGUCACACCAUGGGAGUUUGUAAUGCCCAAAGCCGGUGGCCUAACCUUUUAGGAAGGAGCCGUCUAAGGCAG
rnacentral:rRNA from 1 species